UGUGGAACCUGCAGAGCUCUAUGGCCGGUAAGGAGGCCUAUAUCUGGAGGAAUUUCCAGAAUGGACCAAAACAAGCUAUAUAAUGGGGUGCCCAUAUAACCAGAAAAAAAGGAGAGGGUCAUUCUACUCACUUCUUGCUGAUUGCAUGGAGACAAGGGAACAGGCCAGAGUAGGAAUGGACUGAACUGUCUGGACACUGGCUCCAGAUUCAGCAGGACAUGCUGGAAGUAAAGUGAACAUCCACACUUCUGGAAUAAGCUCGAAGCAUCAAAUGUGAAUGUGCAGAUAGCGUCACUAAUGAUUAUGGGUUUCUACAGACUGUGGAACCUUGGAGAGACCAAAUUUAACAGGAUAUCAUCAAAUCGCAUUCCAGAUGAGAAGGGCAUGGAAUUCUUUCUUUUGAAAAUACCUCUGUGUCUGCUUUUCUUUUCAUUUAUAGUAGACCCAGAAACAACUCUCUUGACUUUGGCUGAAUUACCUCAGACUCUUUGAGGCUCUUACUAAAAAUACAUACAAGAAACAAAAUAUUGUACCCAAAGGUAGAGAACUGCGACAGACAGGGUAGCCAGUUGCAUUGGCAAAAGGCAACAUACAGUACUUGGAAAAGGUGGGAGGAGAGAGCUGGCCUUGGGCCACCAGACGUGGCUCCCUGGACUCUGACUAUUCAAAGUAAGUCCCAAUAAAAGAGGAGAAAAAAGAAGAAAAAGGAGGAAAAAGUCAUGCACUGCUGUGGAUCAUCCAUUAAGCUGUCUGUUGAAUCUGGUGUAAUGUUAAGCAGACCAAAGAGACUGCUAUGAUGUAGCUUGAAUGCAGAACUAUGCUCACCUCAUCCACAGAGCCCUGGUGCUACAUAAACUUGUUUGCUAAGUCCCAUAUUUCUCUUUUUAUUUUACGAGUAUUGAGAGACUGCUUACUUGCCUGUAUUCUAUUGCAAGCCAUAAUGUCAAUGGAGAGCUACCCAGUUGCACUGAGUUUUCAGUGUGGCACUAAAAGGCCCCUUUGAGCUUCUAUCAAAUGUAACAUGGGCAUACAUAUUUGUGAGCCAUGGCUUUGAUGAGCGUCUUAAAAUAUGGAGAAUCAUUUUAAAUUCUUCUGUAGUUGUGUAUCACAAAGGAAA